AUUUCAUUAACUAAAUAACUAAAUACAUUGUUUGUUUUUUCUUCUUCGUAUAAAUACAUUUACACAAAUCAUGAAGCAGUUUCUGCCUUUUCAAUAGUAUAAAGUGUCAUCUCUUCAUGUCUUUGAUUACAACUAAAUGCAGAAGGGACUACCUCACUAACUUGAAAAACAUGCUGGAAAAAAAUAAAAAUUUCGACCACAUUAUCAAGGAGGUGACUCUGUAAGUAAGCUGUCAACAAAAACUGACUCUGUGCUCUUUUAUGUUGUUCAAAGACUUUUAUCUGUUUCAUCCUGAUUGUUUGUUUCUCACAGGGAUCACAUUGAGGAUUGCAUAGAUAAAAACACAAAAGACUGCUUUUGAAAGCUGCUGCUUUGAGUGUCCAGUGUCCUGUUGGAGAAGAAAUCACUCAAUGCAGAAAGAUAAAUCAUUACUCUUCAAUUUGUUCAAGUAAUCAAGUAAUCUGAGCAAAAAACUGUGGGCUUUGACCAAUAUGAUUAAAAAAAUAAAUAAAUGACUAAAGGUAUGAGUGUUUUUUUGUCUUUGUGUAAAUUAACCUAUGAGCUUACCUCAUGGUGGAGUGUUUUAUGUAUGCAGAUGCCGGUUAGCAGGUUUGUUGAGGGGAGGAUGUUCUAUAUAUUCAUGCUGCACUGCUAGUAAUUUAAAUAAAAUAAGGCAAAACAAAAUGAAAUACAAAGAGGAACAUAGUUAAGAUGGUUAUACAAGCAACUGGAGGCCAAUGAAAGCCAACAAAAUAUCAAUUUCAUCAAUAUGAUUAAAAUCAAGAAAAAUAACAUAGAAAAUUAUAAUAAUAAUAAUAAUUAUUAUUAUUAUUACUUCUAUUACUAAAACUACAAGUUAUUUCUAUUUCAAUAGCAGCUAUCAUUAUUAUUAUUAUUAUUAUUAUUAUUAUUAUUAUUAGUAGUAGUAGUAGUAGUAGUAGUAGUAAUAUUUUUAUUACUAAUAAAUAACAAUAAUAAUAAUAAAUAAAAAGAAAUAGCUUUUAUAAAAUAAAUGGGAAAAAGGGAGAGAGAAUACUUUAACUUUAUGGUAAUAAAAACAAAAACAAACAAAAAAAAACCUACCCAGCCCAACAUAAUUAUAUUCAUUUCAAUGAAAAUAAAUAAAAAUAGCUCUUGAAUUAAUAAGACCAACCCAAAUACCUUGCACUCAGUCACGCCCAGCUCUGAGUCGCGUCACAAGCUCUAAAAAUCUGAAUACACUUAUGUGUGUCACUGCACACAUUGAGUUGUUUGGGCUGUGUACUUACAGUGUGAUGUGUUUACAGGGAAAUAUUGACGUUAAAGAAAAUCGGUUCAGUAUUUUGGCUCAAAGGGACUUUUUGGGAUGCCUCUGACUUAUUUCAUGUAUUUUAGCAGCAUUACCCCAAGGGGUCAGUAUUGGACCUGAAAUUGUUUAUUCUGCAUGCAAAUGACAUCAGCAAAGUAUCACGUGUAUUGAAUCUGAUAUAAUUUGCUAUUGACACUAGUAUUCUUUGUACUGGAGAGAAUCUGCAAACAUUCCUGUAGGAUAUCACCUCAGAAAUACUUUGGAUGAAACUGGUUUGGUAAAAACAAACUAUCUCUAAACUUAGAAGUGAUGCUAUUUGGAAACUGUAGAGGGUCUGCUUAAUUACAACUACAGAUAGAUGGGGUGGGAAUUGAGAGUUUUUUUGAAAAUUAAUUUUCUGGGGGCAAUAAAUUAAUGGGAAUCCCACAUUAAGCAUGAACACAUACUUUUCACAAGUGUCACAAUAUACUCCACACUCUCUACUGGUCGCUGGUUUUACCCUAUUUAAGUUACUCUGCUGAUGUUUGGGGAUUCAUUCAUUAAAAGUACUACAGAAAAGAGCAAUAACAAUAUUCAAUUCAAUUACUCAAAUUUUCCUAAAUUUGGCAGAAUUUAAAAAAACAACAACAAAAAAAACCAACCUACUGGAACGAACGCAGAGUGUAGACAUGAUAGUAUCAAAAAUGAAGUACAGAACCAUGAUAUUUAAUAAAGACAGGGCUGAAGAAGGGCGUUGGCAAGCAAGGAUGUUAUUCUUUCUUAAUUUAUGUUUUACAAAAAGUCCCAACUGCAUUGGAUUAUGGUCUGUACACUUUAUAAAUACAUUCUCUAUGUUUAUAUGUCGAUUAUUUUAGAAAGCCUUUCUGGGUAAUGUGAGGACUGUAAGCCCAAUCCUCGAAAACAGCCUCGACUAAAGUAGGUAACUUUUCCAAAACUGCAUCAAUUUAGUUUAAGAAGGAGGUUGUACUAGCUGAGUCUUGGCUUUGUAAGGAACAUUGUCUUUUAUUUUGACUGAAAGAUAGUCUAUUCCUGCUUCAACUACAAGGUAAAUAUGUAUAUGAAGAAGUUAUCAGCAGCCGGCCAAAGCGCUCAUUACCACACAUUAAAUCAGCAGUUUCUUAGUGGACAGAAUGACCACAUUACCGAGGAGCACUUGUCUGACCAACAAUGAUAUCCCAAAAUUCUUGAACUGCCUGAUGCUUUUCUAAGAAUUUAUCAACCGCUUGACAGGGUGUCAAAAUUGUUGGUUGAAACUUUGACAGCUAUGAAAUGAUGACUCACCAACCAAGAGUGUGAAACCAUAUCUGCUCUCACAAAAUGUAUCCACCCUUGUCUUGCCUUUCCUCAGUUUGACAGUUUUUGUUGUUUUAUAUUCAAGUUUUCGUAAGUAUCAGGAUUAUAUAUCUGGUAUGAAUCUUAUCGUAGUGAUAGACGAUUUUAUGCGAACCUUGGGGAUCGCUCAUCUAAAUGUUUCGACAUGAAGUAUGGUGUUCCCCAAGGUUCCAUUUUAAGCCCUACUCUUUUUAAUCUUUAAAUGUUGCCUUUAGGGAAUGUCAUCAGGAGGCACGGCAUCGAUUUCCACAGCUAUGCUGACGACACACAACUUUAUGUUGCCGUGUCUCCUGAUGACACAGGGCCACUCGAUGCCCUUUUUAACUGCAUUUUAGACAUUAAUAUAUGCCAUAUGGAUGGCAGAGAGCUUUUUACAGCUCAACCAGGACAAAACUCAGGUUUUAGUCAUUGGGACAGGGGACAAGAGAGAGAAACUGUUUAGCAAACUCAAAGCACUAUCCUAUAAUACAAGUCAACGAGCUAAAAAUGUAGGUGUUUUAUUUGAUUUAGAAUGUAGCUUUGAGCCUCACAUACGAGAUAUCACAUUUUAUCAUUAAAAAAACAUAGCCCGUGUGCGACCAUUUCUCUCUCAAGCCAAUGCAGAGACACUAAUUCAUGCUUUCAUCGCUUGUAUAGCCGAGGACUUCCUUUUCAGUUUAACAAUGAUUUAGAAAUUUUAAAAACAUUUAAUGAAACAAACUUUCCCACCAAACUGAAACAGUUUCAUCAUAAAUGUAUCAUGACUUUUAAUUUUGCUGAUGCUCUCAUCAUCCAGUCAGCUUUCGCACCUCUGUGUGGCGAGCUUGGUGUGGAGAAAACUUCCUAAUUCUGCAGAUUUUGUAGAUAAAACAUCAUAAAGGUGUCAAAGAAACGCCUUGCGUAACGACAGCCCUAUCACUGUUGUGGUUCUUUGUUUAUUUGGCACUGCUGACAUCAGAAAAGUUCAGCAGCACAUCGAUGAAGUGUUGAUUUUUUUUUUGUUUUUGUUAGAUAAAAAAAAAACUUUGUA